GAGGGUGCGAGCGUUAAUCGGAAUUACUGGGCGUAAAGCGCCCGUAGGCUGUAUGUCAAGUCAAGGGUGAAAUCCCACGGCUCAACCGUGGAACUGCCUUUGAAACUGGCAAACUGGAGUAUGUGAGAGGAUGGCGGAAUUCCUGGUGUAGGAGUGAAAUCCGUAGAUAUCAGGAGGAACAUCAGUGGCGAAGGCGGCCAUCUGGCACAUAACUGACGCUGAGGUGCGAAAGCGUGGGUAGCAA
rnacentral:rRNA from 1 species